rnacentral:lncRNA from 1 species
ACAGGUGGGGAGAGACUGGCUCCUUGGAUGCUGUUUGAGCGCCUGGAUUCACCUGCACCUGAAGCAAAGUGCUACACCCAGAAAACAAUGUCCACUGAAGCCAGUUUGAAGCUGGUGCUCUGUUGUCUACAACCCAAGAAUGCUAGCUGACAGGGAUGAGUUGAGGGUGCGUGGGCACAGAGCACCACCAGGACCGGGACCCAACUCGCUGACAUCAUCACGGUGGGAAACAGGAACUCCUCGACCUCAGGCCAAAAGAUCCAUCUGUUAGAGCCAUCGGGCCAGCCAAGGCUGCUCAGAGAGGCAGGUGGAGGCCAUGUCAUUUCUAACUGACCCGGGAAGAACCAUGUGGUGUGCAGGGUGGGGGUCCCUGCCCACCCAUACUGGGCAUCAUCCAUGCUUAGUGAUCACAUCCAGCUCAGCAACCACAAGCACAGAGGCCAGCGUGUCCCGCGUGGGACACAACGCAGGGUCCUUGCUGCUCUAGCCGCUGCUCAGGCCACUUAUGCUGGCGCCCUAAGAAGUCUCCCUCCUCACAUGUCCUCCCUGGAGUUUAAGCCGAGCUCUCCCCUCCAGUGGACAUCCUCCUUCCCAGCCUCAUGAAAGAUUCAAGACAGAUAGAUAGUUUUUGUUUUUUUUUUUUGAGACGGGGUUUCGCUCUUGUUGUCCAGGCUGGAGUGCAAUGGCGCAAUCUUGGUUCACUGCAACCUCCACCUCCCAGGUUCAAGUGAUUCUCCUGCCUCAGCCUCCCGAGUAGCUAAAGCUGAGAUUACAGGCAUGCGCCACCACACCCGGGUAAUUUUUUGUAUUUUUAGUAGAGACGGGGUUUCUCCAUGUUAGUCAGGCUGGUCUCCACCUCAGGUGAUCCGCCUACCUUGGCCUCCCAAAGUGCUGGGAUUACAGGCGUGAGCCACCACGCCCGACCUGAUGCAAAAUAUUUUUUAAAAGCUCUUCCUUAAAAAUCUGUGUAGGAUGGACUUACUGCAACCUAGCAGGCACCUAAAGAGACCAGGGAUAAAAGUCGACCCACGAGAGCCCCAGGAGAAAGGACAACUGCUGCCGAGGCAGAAAGCCUCCAGGACAGCCUGUGGGAGCUGUUGAAAGGCAAUGCAGGCAGCAAACACCACAGGACAGAGGGGAGGGCUGCCGCAGUAGUGUGGGCUUGAAGACCGUUCCCCUGUGGGUCCCUCCCAGCACAGGGGAACAGGAAGACAUGGUGUGGUCCCUUCUUCACAGAGCGAGCAGUCUGUGGAGAAGACGGGGCUCAUCGGGCAAUGCCUCCACUGGGGCCAGAAAAGGCUUCCCCUGGCUGGACCUGCAGGACGAGGGUCAGGGCUCAGCCAGGUGGCCAGCCCUCAGCGUCUGCUCCCACCUCCUUCUGUGUCCCAGACCCUAAGGCAGAGGCUGGGAAACUAACAAACUACAUUCCCCAGCCUCCUUCACAACUGAGUUCAAAUUAGGUUCCGCCAAUAAUGUGCACUUUUGUGAUGUGGAAGGCAAAUGGAAGAGAGACACCAUCUCCACGUGACUUUGGGGGAUUUUUCUGCUGGUAAGUGAGGCAUGGAGUUGGUGGGUCUCUCUGCAAGGACAAUCCAGGGUCCUGGCUUCAGCUUCUCGGGUGUACAACAGCAGCUGCAGCAGUUGAAGUGGCUUCUAAUCCCUGGAUCAUAGCUGAGAAGCUACAUUCUUUUUUUUUCUUUUCUUUUUUGAGAUAGUGUCUUGCUCUGUCACCCAGGCUGGAGUGCAGUGGUGCAAUCGCAGCUCACUGUAGCUUUGACCUCUCAGGCUCAAGCAAUCCUCCCGCCUCAGCCUCCCGAGUAGCUGGGACCACAGGUGUAUGGGUCACCACACCUGGCUAAUUUUUUUUUUUUAAUUUUCUGUAGAAACAGAGUUUCACUAUAUUGACAACACAGGUCUCAAACUCCUGGGCUUAAGGGAUCUUCCCACCUCGGCCUCCCAAAGUGCUGGGAUUACAGGGCUGAGCCACUGCACCUGGCCUCAGAUGCUAUGUCCUUAAACCAGCAGUUCCCAUGGUGAUCUCAUGACUCCCCUACUCCCCAAUUACAGCAGAGGUCUGGUGGCAGAUCCCCUGACAAGCCAGUUCCGCAGUGUUUUUCUGGGACCAUCUUCAGCCUCGACACAGUCCACCAGCCUCUCCACAGGUAUUGAAGCACCCAAGUCCCUGUAUUAAAUCUCCUCCCACUUAAAACACCUAGAGUGACUUCUGUUUCCUACAACCAAUACAUCAGGCAAAGAGGGCACCAAAUAAUGUUCCAGAUGAAGCCACUGGCAUGAGUGUAAUCACCUAGCCAAGGAUGGAGGAGGGCAGGGUAGAGGCAGGGGCGGGGGCCUAGUUCGGAGUUACUGCAUGAUGUGAUGAGAGCAGGAACUAAGGCAAGGACACUGGAUGGAGCAGCAGGAAGGAUGGGGGUGAGGAAUAAGCCAGACUCGGCCACUGCUUGCCUGAGGCCAUGAAGAAUGACCUUGAGGUCUCAACCCAGGCAGAUGGGACCAAGGAGAUUCCAUGUAUCUAAGGAGGUAAAU